rnacentral:misc_RNA from 1 species
UCUCCGUUGGUGAACCAGCGGAGGGAUCAUUACUGAGUGUUACAACUCCCAACCCUUUGUGAACUUACCAUUGUUGCUUCGGCGGCUGCUACGUGGCCGCCGGAGGACCGAAACUCUUGCUUGAUCAGUGGUUUUCUCUCUGAGUGGCAUAAGCAAAAUAAAAUUAAAACUUUCAACAACGGAUCUCUUGGUUCUGGCAUCGAUGAAGAACGCAGC